AUUGAACGCUAGCGGGAUGCCUUACACAUGCACGUCGAACGGAGUGGCGAACGGGUGAGUAAUGUCUCGGAAUGUGCCCAGUAGCGGGGGAUAACUACGGGAAAGCGUAGCUAAUACCGCAUACUAUCAGAUGGGCCGAUUUCGGAUUAGCUAGUUGGUGGGGUAAAGGCCAACCAAGGCGACGAUCCGUAACUGGUUUGAGAGGACGACCAGCCACACUGGGACUGAGACAAGGCCCAGACGCCUACGGGAGGCAGAAGUGGGGAAUUUUGGACAAUGGGGGAAACCCUGAUCCAGCCAUGCCGCGUGUGUGAAGAAGGUCUUCGGAUUGUAAAGCACUUUCAGCGAGGAGGCGUUACUCGCAGAAUAAGCACCGGCUAACUCCGUGCCAGCAGCCGCGGUAAUUC
rnacentral:rRNA from 1 species